ensembl:rRNA 5S_rRNA 5S ribosomal RNA
GUCUACGGCCAUACCACCCUGAAUGUGCUGAUCUUGUCUGAUCUCGGAAGCUAAGCAGGGUUGGGCCUGGUUAGUACUUGGAUGGGAAGAAAAUGUCUCUCAGUAUCUUUUAAGGAGCCUAUACA